rnacentral:rRNA from 1 species
UACGUAGGGGCCGAGCGUUGUCCGGAGUUAUUGGGCGUAAAGCGCGCGCAGGCGGCCUCGCGCGCCCGACGUGAAAGCCCCCGGCUUAACCGGGGAGGGUCGUUGGGGACGGCGGGGCUUGAGGGCGGGAGAGGUCGGUGGAAUUCCCGGUGUAGCGGUGAAAUGCGCAGAUAUCGGGAGGAACACCGGCGGCGAAGGCGGUUCUCUGGGCCUUACCUGACGCUGAGGAGCGAAAGCGUGGGGAGCGAACAGG